CACUGGGUGGCAGGUCAGAAUUUCCUAGCUCCCAAGAGCCCAGGGGUCCAGCACUCAGGACCUGCAGUUCCUGACACCAUGCCCUCUCUAAGGGGUUCCCACAGGGCAAUGUGAGACCAGGCUUUUUGAGGAACAUGGCAUCAAAUCCCGCUCCAUGCCCCAGAUCUCAGAGGCAUUUAUAACAAUAUCAGCCUGGGCUGCAGCUUCUCUGAAAAUGAACUCACGGAGGAGUGAGCAUCAUUCCUCAGACCCAGCCUGAGUAAGCGUGGGAGCUGGCAGCAUCACAAUGCCAAACAAGGAUGUCAGUGGACCAAAGCUGUAAUAUUUUUAUGGGCUAAAUAUCUGAUACCAGCCCCGAAAGCAUCUGGAGAAAGGAGUCAGGAGGGAGGUGGUGAGAGCGAAAGAGAAGGCGAGCGGGAGACGGAGAGAACAGACACAAGUUGAGAUAAACCAAGCAAGGUGCGUCCGUGUGGCCUUGGCCUACCGUGGGACCCUCUCCCUCCCAUGUCCAUGCCCAUUCCCAGAACCAGAGCAAGGCUGCUGCUCAGCAGGGUUUGAACAACAAGCUGUCUGACCAGAUCGGCCUCCAGGGAGGACAGAGC